rnacentral:misc_RNA from 1 species
UUUUUUUUUCUCUUUUUUAGCUUGUAAAUUCAAUCGAUUUUCAGGUAAAGUUUUUUGCUGAUUUAUUCGAUUUUGGAUUGGCAUAACAGAGCUCCGUUUUGCUGUCCUUUGACUAAUUCUAUUUUUGGAUGCUUAGGGUUUUCGUUUCCAUGUGGAUUGGUUUGGUUCUCUCUCAUGUUUUUGGUUAUUGAUUGAUGUUUGAGUUACCCCCUUCAAGAUUAGCCCUGAAAUUUUUUUUUUGGGGGGUAAUGGAAAACUGCAAUGCAACUCUGGAGAAUGGAAUCCAGGCAAUUAAUUUAUUUGUAAACGUGGAUAAUGUAAACGUUACGUAUUUUUUUACAUGGAUUUUUUUAUUCUUGCUCAAGCCAGAUGAUACCUCCUUUUUUGGUUUAAUUCAAGUUUAAUUAACAUUAACAGUAAUGCUAUUAAGGCUUGUUGACUUUUCAGCUUAAUAUCGCUUUGCCAUUGUGGUUCCAUCUGAAAUUCUCAAUCUUCUAUAGCAGGUGUCAGAAAUUGUGAGGCUAUUUAAAUCUCUUGGCUAUUGAUAUCACAUUGGGAAAAUAGAGGUUAAGUGUUACUGAGUAUUGUUCUGAUCUUUCAUGACUACUGGGACCUUCUAGCAUCUCAGUUUCAGUUUGGCAAUGGCUG